rnacentral:sRNA from 1 species
AACCCAAUCAUACUUUUCCACAGAUUCACCUGCAAGUUACCUAGUGAAUAAACUACACAGAGAACAAUAGCUAUUGUAUUUGUAAGAUGGGACAAUAGAACUUAAAAAAGUUUAAAUCGACAGGUAACUUGCAGGUGAAUCUGUGGAAAAGUAUGAUAGGGUU